GCCUUCGUGGUGUAAUGGUCAGCACACUGAGUAGGUAUUUCAGAGGUCCGUGGUUCGAUUCCCGGCGAAGGCA
rnacentral:tRNA from 1 species